CCUACGGGAGGCAGCAGUGAGGAAUAUUGGUCAAUGGGCGUACGGCUGAACCAGCCAAGCCGCGUGAAGGACGAAGGUGCCAAGGAUUGUAAACUUCUUUUGUCAAGGGACAACAUCAGGCUCGAGAGCCUGACCGAGGGUUAUUGAAGAAAAAGCAUCGGCUAACUCCGUUCCCGCAGCCGCGGGAAACCGGAGGAUGCGAGCGUUAUCCGGAUUUAUUGGGUUUAAAGGGGGCGUAGGCGGAAUGUUAAGUCAGCGGUAAAAGCCCGGGGCGCAACCCCGGCGAGCCGUUGAAACUGGCGGUCUUGAGAGGGCGAGAAGUAUGCGGAAUGCGCAGUGUAGCGGUGAAAUGAUUAGAUAUUACGCAGAAAUCCGAUUGCGAAGGCAGCAUACCGGCGGCGAUCUGACGCUGAGGCACGAAAGCGUGGGUAUCGAACAGGAGUAGAUACCCGGGUAGUC
rnacentral:rRNA from 1 species